rnacentral:rRNA from 1 species
UGGGGAAUUUUGGACAAUGGGCGCAAGCCUGAUCCAGCAAUGCCGCGUGUGGGAUGAAGCCCUUAGGGGUGUAAACCACUGUCAGGGACUACCAACAACAUGAGGAGUCCCAAAGGAAGAGCCGGCUAACUCUGUGCCAGCAGCCGCGGUAAUACAGAGGGCUCGAGCGUUAAUCGGAAUCACUGGGCUUAAAGCGUGCGUAGGCGGAUUUGAAGGCGCUUUGUGAAAUCCCUCGGCUCAACCGAGGAACUGCUUGGCGAACCACAAAUCUUGAGGCUGGUAGAGGUGGUCGGAACAAUAGGUGGAGCGGUGAAAUGCGUAGAUAUCUAUUGGAACACCGAAGGUGAAGACAGGCCACUGGGCCAGUCCUGACGCUGAGGCACGAAAGCGUGGGUAGCAAACGGG